rnacentral:rRNA from 1 species
GCAAGUCGAGCGCGCCUUUCGGGGUGAGCGGCGGACGGGUUAGUAACGCGUGGGAAUAUGCCCUUUGGUACGGAAUAGCCUCUGGAAACGGAGAGUAAUACCGUAUGAGCCCUUCGGGGGAAAGAUUUAUCGCCAAAGGAUUAGCCCGCGUUAGAUUAGGUAGUUGGUGGGGUAAUGGCCUACCAAGCCUACGAUCUAUAGCUGGUUUUAGAGGAUGAUCAGCAACACUGGGACUGAGACACGGCCCAGACUCCUACGGGAGGCAGCAGUGGGGAAUCUUGGACAAUGGGGGCAACCCUGAUCCAGCCAUGCCGCGUGAGUGAUGAAGGCCUUAGGGUCGUAAAGCUCUUUCGCCUGUGAAGAUAAUGACGGUAGCAGGUAAAGAAACCCCGGCUAACUCCGUGCCAGCAGCCGCGGUAAUACGGAGGGGGUUAGCGUNGUUCGGAAUUACUGGGCGUAAAGCGCACGUAGGCGGAUCGGAAAGUUGGGGGUGAAAUCCCGGGGCUCAACCCCGGAACUGCCUCCAAAACUAUCGGUCUAGAGUUCGAGAGAGGUGAGUGGAAUUCCGAGUGUA